AGGAGAGUUACAUAAGCUUAUUCAUAUCAGUAUCGAAACCAACAUUCGAUAAUAAAAGAAACAAAAGUAAGAUGCAAGUUAAAGAAAUCUGUAAUCCUCCACCAAAUACACAUUACUGAGACAUACAACUGGCUUGUGUUCUUACGUCCAAAAGCGCACAGCCCUUACACCUGGUCGAAGGGACUGGUUUUGUGACUCCACUUACAUUGUCACUUCCAAAUCUUCAUGAAGAAAUCAUAUUCGGGAUUCUUCGAAGAAUUUCCUUCAAAUCCACUGCUAAAUACAGCUGCUUCAAUCUAAUAUGCUGAUAAUCCCAAUUAUCUUCCUGUUCAAAGUAGGCAUAAAAUGGGAAGCUAAUACAAAUAAAUUUGGAAAACUAGAAGCACAAAUAUGACUUCAGAAUGGCAAUUUAUGUAAUAAGUUUACACAAUCCCAAAUAUGCAAUUGUAGUACCUUUACAGAAUUGUGAGUUUAAUUCUUUGCAUCCUCAUUUUGAGAUAAUAAGCCUUUCACAUUAAAUAAGAAACAAGUAAUUGAUCAUCAAACCAAGCAAGAGAGAGAUCGGUACUUGCAGCAUAAGAGAUUCACAAAAAGUUUUCCCAAUAACCACAUCUUGAGUAGGAUAAAAAAUGUUGUGUAUUAAUUAAAUUGGGAAGAGAAACAAUCUUCCUUCUAUAGAUGGACUACACCCUGGAAAAAUAAGAGAGAAGGUACAUCAAGACAAACUAAAUCUACAGUUGUACAUCUAGAUCUCUAGCAAUCAUAGAAAAUCUAUGUUUACAAAUUGGAUAAGACUAUAUGUACACUUUCCGGUGUACAUAAAGUCUUAUACCCCCUCACAUGGAGGGGGCUCCAUGUGUUGGGGGNNNNNNNNNNGUUGGUUGUGGUGGGGGGGGGGGGGGGGGGAGGAUUAAGAAUUGUUUACACCGGAAGUGUCAUGUAGCAUGACCCUUACAAAUUAUACAACAAACUAUCCCUAAAACAGAUUGUUAAACAAUAUUUUCACGUACGGGUUCAUGAUUAUUAGGAGGGUGGGAAGCAACAGCUUCAGUACCCAGUCAAGUCAAGUUUUUCACUUGUCUAGUAGAGGGCUUCUUCCCAAGCAUAACAUUCCUCCUGCUUUCCUCACGAUGUACUGCAGAGAACACUUCACUCAGAGAUAGCAGGGGUUGCUGACCAAUUAUUCUACCCCAAACUUCAUCAAACUUGACAAUUAGCCCAGCCAAAAAUUUGAAUAUUCGCAAACUUUCUACCAUAGUAAAAUAGUUAAACUAAUUCUAAUUCUUCCACUCAUUGUCAUUGAAUAAGUAAAGAUCCUAUCAUAAACCAUUGAGGACAUUAAAAUAUUUGGUAAUCGAAUUCUCACCUUGAUGAAUAUCCUCCCAUUUGAGUUGUAACUCAUAGAUUUGGGACUAAUUCCCAAGGUCUAAAUACAUCUUAGUAAUGUCAUAAAGAUCUAUAUCAAACGAAAUCAAUAGAUGUACAUCUUGAUUUCUGAGAAUCAUAAAGAUCUAUAUUUACAAAAUAUACAAUAAACUAUUCCUAGAAAUCAGAAUUUCCCUUAUUUAACCGAGAUUCUCAACACCACGUUCAAAAAUCCACCUAAAUAGCAAAAUUAUGGGAUGCUAUAGGGACUCGCUCCCAAGUGUCAAAUUAGGGCAUUUCAUGUUAAUGUGACCGGACACAUGCUGGUCAACCACUGAUAUGACAAGAUUGGAGUGACAAAAAUAAGUUUCUCAUAAGCCUAUAUAGAUCAUACACUCCACUAGGGAAAUAACGUAAAAGUUUGACUUUCAGAAAACGUUUAAGAAAAGUGUACAAAGAAAAGAAAUGAGAUCUGCAUAUAACUUUAGUUAAUCACUACAAGGCUGCUUGUUGAUUCUAAAUCUCUAGUUCCAAGGUAAAAGUAUGGCAUAAGGAAAAGCUUACUAUUUCUUGAAAAUCCUUUUUUUCCCAAAAAAAAAAAUAAAAUAAAAUAAAAUAAAAGGAAGCUUUUUCAUUAAUUCGGUAAAGGCUACAAAUUCACCACAUGGAAAGAGAUUGGGAUGGGAUAUGAACAGGGAGGAAAUAUGAGAACAAGGUUCUGAAAAACCCACCAGGUAUAUCUAAAAUUAGCUUAGUUUCCAUUUGGGUAUACGACCUUGGAUUGCAAUGGGGACUCGAAUCCUGUCUUUGAUGGUGAUCAUAGAGUUGGGAAACUGAUCAAAUCGAUUCCGAUCAAGCCAAAAAGGUAAGCCCUAUAUAUGUUAUUAGUAAAGCGCUUAAAAAAUAACCCUUCCCGUGGGAGAAAGAUGUAGAAGUAAAUAAAGCAGCAGAUAUUGAAGACUUUUACAAGGGAUCAAUUGGAGCUCAAACCCCGUGGGGAAGCAAGUUUCCAUACAGAGAAGAAGAUGAAGCUAUUGCAAGCCCUGAACUGGCUACACGAGGUCAUUUUGCGAAAAUCUGCGUUCAAAUCAAUCUAUGGUUGUUUUGCAAGAUCUCACUUUCAUUUCGUAGAGUGGAUCAAACAUGUGUUCAGCUUGCUUUGGGCCCAGGAAGCGAAGGGACUGCGAAUUCCUGGUCAUUCCUACCAUUUGUUCUCAUCAGCGAUGCUACUUUCUUCUUUAUACCUUUCCUUUCCUAAAUCAAUAAAUAUGAAUGGCACGAGGACUUUCUUCAGAUCGAAGGAGAGGAAUCGAUCAGCAUCUUACCAUGGAACUAAAUAAUCAUCUGGCAGAUACUGAUGCAAGAAAAUUAGAUUCAAGGAAAAUAAAGUCACCAAGCAUUCAGCUCUGGCAGUACUGCAGCCGUAUUUCUAUUUUCCUUUCUUCAUCAUUCUGCUAUCUUAUUAGCUGUUUCCUAUCCUGUCUUAAUUUAAAUUAUUAUGUUUCCUAGUUCAAAAUUUUUGGGUAUCAGACAAAUUCUUGUGGUGUCAACCUUGUAUUCAGCCUCUUAUUUACAAAGCACUGAAAUCUUAUGCAGUUCUGUUAUGACCUUCUUAUGGUUUUCUGCAAACUCCAGCCACUAAUUUACAUUUUCUAAGGUAUGGUGCAAGCAUCUUUCAUUCUCAUCAUGCAUUAGUUUGUGUCAAAGCCAGGUUCACAUCAAGCUGGCAUGUGAGGCAGAAAAUGUUGGAGAUAAAUGGAACAAAACUCAUAGAUUACUAAAAGUAUUGAAUAACUCAGAAAACAAGAAAGGCGAUCGAUAAAAUUCAGGUAACAAUCAAACAAAAGCAUUUCGAGACCAAAGUGACAUGGUCAUUAUUUAGUGACAAGUAACUGGCAAAUUGGAUCCACCUAUCUACAAUGUCUAUGCAGACAACAAAUGAGUUUUUUUCAAGCUCAGAUUGGUUCGUUAUUAUAUAUUUGUUGAAGAAAAUAAAUAUAUAGACAAUAACCAGCUACGGGCGUUCACUGUGCUAAGAAAUUGAAAACUGGAUCUCUGUGUAUAUCCUCUUUAGCUACACAAAGUCGUUGGAGAGUAAAACAAAGAGAAUGCUUUGAUGGUCUAAGAUAUAGCAAUGCGGUCUCUAUAAUCUAACCUUCCAAGUAAAACAAGACAAGAAAAAAAGGGUAGAUUGAAUGGGUAACAUAGAUCCAUCACAGAGAAAACUCUGGUUAAAUGGGUUCAGAAAAGGUUAUGCAUGAAAUUUGUCUUUUUAUUGAGAAGUAAUUCAUGAACAAAAAUGUAAAUAUGAUCCUUACAUUCUAUAAAGCUAUACAAUACAGAAUACAGAUCUGGAGGAGCAAAUAAAAUGUAGUUUAGUUACAUUUUUGGUGCAUUGACUGAGACAUAUAAUGCCAAAAGCUUGAUUCUUAAUUCAAUUAAAUACAUCAAUUAACAUUUCUUUGUUUAGCAUUUACAUUAUGAGCUAGAAGGUCCUCUGAGCAGGAGAAGGUUUAGAAAACAAUGCAGAGAUUUUUGUUGAGUUUGCAAAUAUUUUUAAUGACCGAAAUUUUAGUAGGACUAGAAUAGCAUGCAACACACCAUAGGAGAAUAUUUAAAAAUAAAUAACUAAACACACACAAAUUAAGAUAUGAUCCAAAGAAGCAUUAAUAAGAAACAUUCACCAAUAUGAUAACCUAAUUUACCUUUGUACCCCAUUGCCACAAUUGUUGGUUUUCUUCAUGAUCAGAGUUAGGCAAAAUUAGGCUUUCAGUGUAGGUAAUUGCUC
rnacentral:lncRNA from 1 species